rnacentral:rRNA from 1 species
GAUGAACGCUGGCGGCGUGCCUAAUACAUGCAAGUCGAGCGAACGGACGAGAAGCUUGCUUUUCUGAUGUUAGCGGCGGACGGGUGAGUAACACGUGGAUAACCUACCUAUAAGACUGGGAUAACUUCGGGAAACCGGAGCUAAUACCGGAUAAUAUUUUGAACCGCAUGGUUCAAAAGUGAAAGACGGUCUUGCUGUCACUUAUAGAUGGAUCCGCGCUGCAUUAGCUAGUUGGUAAGGUAACGGCUUACCAAGGCAACGAUGCAUAGCCGACCUGAGAGGGUGAUCGGCCACACGGGAACUGAGACACGGUCCAGACUCCGACGGGAGGCAGCAGUAGGGAAUCUUCCGCAAUGGGCGAAAGCCUGACGGAGCAACGCCGCGUGAGUGAUGAAGGUCUUCGGAUCGUAAAACUCUGUUAUUAGGGAAGAACAUAUGUGUAAGUAACUGUGCACAUCUUGACGGUACCUAAUCAGAAAGCCACGGCUAACUAC